rnacentral:rRNA from 1 species
AGCAUGUGGUUUAAUUCGAAGCAACGCGAAGAACCUUACCAGGCCUUGACGUGCAGAGAACUUUCCAGAGAUGGAUUGGUGCCUUCGGGAACUCUGACACAGGUGCUGCAUGGCUGUCGUCAGCUCGUGUCGUGAGAUGUUGGGUUAAGUCCCGUAACGAGCGCAACCCUUGUCCUUAGUUACCAGCACGUUAUGGUGGGCACUCUAAGGAGACUGCCGGUGCAAACCGGAGGAAGUGGGGAUGACGUCAAGUCAUCAUGGCCCUACGGCCUGGGCUACACACGUGCUACAAUGGUCGGUACAAAGGGUUGCCAAGCCGCGAGGUGGAGCUAAUCCCAUAAAACCGAUCGUAGUCCGGAUCGCAGUCUGCAACUCGACUGCGUGAAGUCGGAAUCGCUAGUAAUCGUGAAUCAGAAUGUCACGGUGAAUACGUUCCCGGGCCUU